rnacentral:misc_RNA from 1 species
GAAAUGCGAUAAGCAAUGCGAAUUGCAGAAUUCCGCGAGUCAUCAGAUUUUUGAACGCAGCCCGCGCUGGAGAGAUAUCUCUUCAGCAUGUUUGUUUCAGUGUGUUUGGUUGACAUCACACAACUCAAUGCGAUUGAAGCGUUCCUCUCCCCUUCACAGGGGGAAGGGGUGCUUCUCUCGUGAAGAUGGAAGGCGCGGACUUGUCCGCCAACGAUGUGGCCACUGUCUAACAGUGUAUUUCGUUGGAGUACCGGACCUGUCAUCACAUUAAUGCGUCUUUUUUAUACCAAACUCUUCAAUCUGCACCUGAAAUCAAGCAAGAACACCCGCUGAACUUAA